UUUAAUGAACUAAAAUGUCUGUGUAUCGCAAACGACCGACUAGCACCCCCUAUUCCAAAGCAGACGACGCUGCUGGUUUGAAUCUCAAUCAUGAUAUGACAUGGAUGAAAUCGAAAGAGGGACGAAGAUUUGCUGAGAUGAGGAACUUGACAAAUCAGUUUAUAUGCUCUCAGUCACAGUGAUAUCGUUUGUAUCUUUUCCAAAAACUUUGAAAGCGAUGGUGACUAGGUACUUUAUUGUAUCAAUACAUUAGGCCUACAUGUAAAUGGGUCUGAUAGUACUGUAUUAUUUAUGGAUUUAUCGACACUUUCCACGGGAAAUCCCGGCCCCGAAAGUAAUACGAUGGAGAGGCUUAUGAUCACUGUUGAUAUCAACUCAAAAGUAGCUCUUGCCAUCAAGAUGGUACUUUCUGGUAUAGGACCACCAACCCAUAGCAGACCAGGGGAUCUUGAUGUCAGCAUAAUAGUGAUUAUGAUAGAUUCAUCA